rnacentral:rRNA from 1 species
UNUGACUUGAGUGCAGAAGGGGAGAGUGGAAUNCCAUGUGUAGCGGUGAAAUGNGUAGAUAUAUGGAGGAACACCAGUGGCGAAAGCGGCUCUCUGGUCUGUCACUGACGCUGAGGCUNGAAAGCGUGGGUAGCGAACAGGAUUAGAUACCCUGGUAGUNCACGCCGUAAACGAUGAGUGCUAGGUGUUAGGCCCUUUCCGGGGCUUAGUGCCGGAGCUAACGCAAUAAGCACUCCGCCUGGGGAGUACGACCGCAAGGUUGAAACUCAAAGGAAUUGACGGGGGCCCGCACAAGCGGUGGAGCAUGUGGUUUAAUUCGAAGCAACGCGAAGAACCUUACCAGGUCUUGACAUCCCGAUGCUAUUCUUAGAGAUAGGAAGUUACUUCGGUACAUCGGAGACAGGUGGUGCAUGGUUGUCGUCAGCUCGUGUCGUGAGAUGUUGGGUUAAGUCCCGCAACGAGCGCAACCCUUAUUGUUAGUUGCCAUCAUUAAGUUGGGCACUCUAGCGAGACUGCCGGUAAUAAACCGGAGGAAGGUGGGGAUGACGUCAAAUCAUCAUGCCCCUUAUGACCUGGGCUACACACGUGCUACAAUGGUCGGUACAACGAGUUGCGAGCCGGUGACGGCAAGCUAAUCUNUGAAAGCCGAUCUCAGUUCGGAUUGGAGGCUGCAACUCGCCUCCAUGAAGUCGGAAUCGCUAGUAAUCGCGGAUCAGCACGCCGCGGUGAAUACGUUCCCGGGCCUUGUACACACCGCCCGUCACACCACGAGAGUUUGUAACACCCGAAGUCGGUGAGGUANCCUUUUAGGGGCCA